rnacentral:rRNA from 1 species
GACGAACGCUGGCGGCGUGCUUAACACAUGCAAGUCGAACGGAAAGGCCCUGCUUUUGUGGGGUGCUCGAGUGGCGAACGGGUGAGUAACACGUGAGUAACCUGCCCUUGACUUUGGGAUAACUUCAGGAAACUGGGGCUAAUACCGGAUAGGAGCUCCUGCUGCAUGGUGGGGGUUGGAAAGUUUCGGCGGUUGGGGAUGGACUCGCGGCUUAUCGGCUUGUUGGUGGGGUAGUGGCUUACCAAGGCUUUGACGGGUAGCCGGCCUGAGAGGGUUGACGGCGACAUUGGGACUGAGAUACGGCCCAGACUCCUACGGGAGGCAGCAGUGGGGAAUAUUGCACAAUGGGCGGAAGCCUGAUGCAGCAACGCCGCGUGCGGGAUGACGGCCUUCGGGUUGUAAACCGCUUUCGCCUGUGACGAAGCGUGAGUGACGGUAAUGGGUAAAGAAGCACCGGCUAACUACGUG